UUAUAUUUACAUUUCCUUUUCUUUAUUUUCUUUUAUUUUUUUUUUCUUCCCUCAACGCCGAACUCGUGCCAUUUCCCUUUCCUCUUCCGCGCGUGCCGAAGCCCGAAGCCGAGCCCUAACCGCCGGCCCGGCGUUUUCUUCCUCACCGAAGCUUUAAACCCGUCGGCCAUCUCCUUUUCUUCUUUCUCCAGAGCCGAACUCCUCUUCCCACUGCUGCCAGCGACGGCAAAUGCUACUGUACAACGCUGCCGACGCCCUUCUCUCGAUCUCUGCUGCCGGCGACGAGAGCCAACGCCGACCCCCUGUCGCCCUAGCUGUGGAGAUACCGAGCACUAGCUGAUCGCCUCCCUCGUCUGCACGCCCUACUCCCUCUGCCGUCGGCAUCCGAGCCCUAGCGCCGAUUUUUCUUCUCCUCUUCCGAGUUUAGGCUGCCUCCAAGUUGUGCUGUUCGGGGGAUUUAGGAAUUAGGGUUUGCUGUUGGUUGUUCUUGGGUUCGGCAGCCAUUUUCCAGCGGCUACCUUUCUCUGGUAGCAACAUCCCUGCUGUGGGUGAGUGUAGGGGAAUCUUGAAGAGAAGUGUUUACUGUAAGUUUUCUUGGAUUUGGCAGCUACUUCCAUCCAGCAGCAAGGAACCGCUGUGGAGGUUAAG